rnacentral:rRNA from 1 species
UACGUAGGUGGCAAGCGUUGUCCGGAUUUAUUGGGUUUAAAGGGUGCGUAGGCGGCCUAUUAAGUCAGUGCUGAAAUAUCCCGGCUUAACCGGGAGGGUGGCAUUGAUACUGAUGGGCUUGAGUAGAGUUGAGGUUGGCGGAAUUGACGGUGUAGCGGUGAAAUGCUCAGAUAUCGUCAAGAACACCUAUUGCGAAGGCAGCUAACUAAGCUCAAACUGACGCUGAGGCACGAAAGUGUGGGGAUCAAACAGG